rnacentral:misc_RNA from 1 species
CUAGCCUGUCAGUUCUUCGCGCGCUUCAGGGUACCUGCGAUGGAUUGCUUCUGUAAUGCGGGAAGGACGAGGGGCAGCGGAGUGCUUCUGUGAAACAGCAAGGUUGAGGGGCGGGCGACACUUUGCUUCUGCGCUACGACGAGAUGGAGAGGCGGGGGAUUCUUCUGUGCAACGGCGAGAUUGAGGGGCAGAGAUAGACUGAGAGAGUGAGAACG